rnacentral:tRNA from 1 species
GGGGGUUUAGUUUAGCGGCAUAAGCGCCUGCCUUGCAAGCAGGCAGUUGUGAGUUCAAUCCCCG